rnacentral:lncRNA from 1 species
GGAAAAUGACGGUUUCUGGCACUGCCUUUAAUCCGUUCCUUCCUGCCGCAGGCUUUGGGGCGAUACCUCCGGCCGGCGGAGAGGACGGAAGUGGUCCUUGCGGCCCUGGAGAUCUUGGGACACGCCACCUUCCAGAACAAUGAACCCCCGAUGGAGUUCCUGGAGGAGGUCAUGGAAUCCCCUGAGGUGUGGCUGACGGAUGUGCCAAAGGUGGUGAGGCACAUCUUCAGUUUUUAUGACGACGGCAACGCGAUGACCGCCUUCAGCUUCCACUCCCUCCUUCUCCACCUGGUGAAUAUGAACCCUGAGCAAGCCGUCGCCGCGGCGCUGGAGGCCACGCCGAAUUUCAGCCAACAAAUCCACCUGUGGAAGGUGAUGUUCUCCGUGCGCCAGACGCUGGAGAAGGUCCUGAAGGAGCUGGAGGUCCACGUCCUGGACUGCCGUAGCAACGUCUUCACUCAGCAGCAGAAGAAUUGUCUCUCUUUCUUAUCUGUG